UUCAUCACGAUUCAUUUUCAAUUAUCUUUUUAUACAGAAGAUCAACUUAGUAUAUACUAAGUAAAGAUUUCAACAGACUGCACCCACAAAGACACACAAAGUAUAGAGUACUGUUUGGAUAGUAGUUUUACCAUUAAUUCACAUAGUACAACACAUAAGGACAGAGGUCCUACAUGGGGAGCAGGUGUACAGUGACUCCCAUUGUUGAUUUAACAGUUGACAUUCUUUUUUAUGACAUCAGUAAUCGCCCGUCGCCCAAGGCUCUUGUCAUGAGCUGUCAAGGCUAUGGAAGCCUCUUGAGUUCGCCAACUCCAAUAUUAUUUAGACAAGGCCAUAUUCGAAGUGGAAGUUCUCUCCUCCCUUCAGAGAAAGGUACCUCCUUCUUUGAUGGCCCAUUCUUUCCGCUGGGAUCUCACUCACAGAGAUCUUUCAUUUAGGUUUUUUUUGUUUUGUUUUUUUGUUUUGUUUUGUUUUGUUUUGCCAGUGUCUUGGCUUUCCAUGCCUGAAAUACUCUCAUGGGCUUUUUUAGCCAGAUCCGAAUGCCUUAAGGGCUGAUUCUGAGACUAGAGAUUUUUUUUCACAUAUUUUUAAUGAAUAUUUUUCUCUUCUUGCUCUAGAUCAAUGGCAUUUUUUUGAGGUCAGUCCAGUGUAGAACAAGAGGUGAGUUUGAGUGGGGAAUAGAUGUUUCUGAGGCCAAAGCGCCUUUGAACUAGCAAAAGCUUGGAGCUAGAGAGAAAAGGUAUUGUUCUCAAACUAAGUUGAAGACAGAAGUAGGCAGCCACAGCUCUCAGUGGGAUAGGGAAGAUUGAGGGAUACCUCUUAAUACCAGGGAAGGGAUUAUUAACAUUGCCCAUCCCUUUGGGUUUAUUGUUUCCUUAGGCUUCGCUUUUGAUGUAUUUAAGAUCCUGAAAAGAGGAGACAAAUCACAAAGAGUUGACUGUCCAUGCAGGUGGAGGAAAAAGAGGCGUGGUUACCAUCCAGGCUAAUGACAGUGAGGGGUAUGACACAGAAGUCCCCAAUAUUUCUUUAGGAAUUUCAAGACAGAAAUCUUAGGGGAGGCAGCUUCACAGAAUGCCUCACCCAUCAUGGAGUACAGAACAGGAACAGGAGAAAGGAAAGGGAGAAGGAUGGAGGAUCCUCACUCAACAUUCCAGACUCCCUCAUUUCCUAUGAGGCAGGUAGAGGCCCAGAAGGUUCCUCUUACAUCCUCCGGAGGAAAAUAACUGAAAAUUAGGAACUGGCAUGUCCGCUAAGAUCACGAAGGUGUGAGGUGAGUAGACCCCACAGCCCAGGUACCAGGUGGACAGCCCCAGCACGGAGCCUGUCACUGUCUAUUUGCUGCUGCUGCUGCUGCUGCUGCUGCUGCUGCUGUAGAAUACCAGAGUGAGUGAAUAAGCAGAAGUUUAUUGCACGUGCGGUUCUGGACGUGGAUAGAAAUUCAUAGUAAUCAGGUACAUAAGUCAAAUAUAUGUCCACGGACUUGUCAAGAUCCAUUGACUCUCUAAACAGAAAUGCCCUGUGUACCUGUAAGAGAAACAAAGUGCUAUUUUAAUAUGCAUUCUGGUGAAUUUGGAAUCAGAAAAGGGUGAUUAAGAUUAACUGGAAAUGCCUAGUGCCUCUCAAAUCUCUGGAAAUAUCUCAUCUCUAGCACAAGAACAGUGACAUCAAGCGGUUUUGAAAACAGCUAUAUAAGGAAUAUCUAAGAAGAAUGUAAACAAGGCCUUUGCAGAGAUUUGGGCUAGAACUCAUGAGCAUGAGUGGGAGAAAAGAUUUUUAAGAAGAAUCUCUAGGUUCCAAAUCACCACGGAGUUCCUCUGCCCACACGUCAGGAAAUGAAAUCCACCUACCAGGAAAGACUCUCCUAUCUUUAGGAAAACAUCAACACCGUUGUCAAUUAAAAAAAAAUGCUUACAAAUUGUAUACUUAUCACUUCAUGUCUAUGUGUAAGGGGAAAACAUGAGAUAUGAGGGCACUUAAAAAUGUUCAUGGAAAAUGUGUUAUGAAAAAAAAACUAUGCCUGUAUUUCAAAGAUUUUUCACAAAAUAAAUUUGUCUUUAAUCUCAUUUUCCAUGAAUUUUUUUAAAAGACUUUUUUUUAAAAAAAGACUUUUUUUUUUUUUGACAGGCAGAGUUAGACAGUGAGAGAGACAGAGAGAAAGGUCUUCCUUCUGUUGGUUCACCCCCCCAGAUGGCCACUACAGCCAGUGUACUGCGCCGAUGCGAAGCCAGGAGCCAGGUGCUUCCUCCUGGUCUCCCACGUGGGUGCAGGAGCCCAAAUACUUGGGCCAUCCUCCACUGCACUCCCGGGCCACAGCAGAGAGCUGGACUGGAAGAGGAGUAACCGGGACUAAAACCCAGUGCUCAUAUGGGAUGCCAGCACCGCAGGCGGAGGAUUAGCCAAGUGAGCCAUGGCGCUGGCCCCUUCCAUGAAUUUUUUUAAAGUAUACUCAUUUUUUCAUUUUUCUUAACUGGAAUCUGUGCCCCUAUAGAUUUUUCCCCAAAUAGGUCAUUCCUAAUAGCUCAAAAA